UGCCUUACACAUGCAAGUCGAACGGCAGCACGGGGGCAACCCUGGUGGCGAGUGGCGAACGGGUGAGUAACACAUCGGAACGUACCCAGUUGUGGGGGAUGACCAGUCGAAAGACGGGCUAAUACCGCAUGAUCUGGCGACAGCAAAGCGGGGGAUCGGUAACGACCUCGCGCGAUUGGAGCGGCCGAUGUCCGAUUAGCUAGUUGGUGGGGUAAAGGCCCACCAAGGCUUUGAUCGGUAGCUGGUCUGAGAGGAUGAUCAGCCACACUGGGACUGAGACACGGCCCAGACUCCUACGGGAGGCAGCAGUGGGGAAUUUUGGACAAUGGGGGCAACCCUGAUCCUGCCAUGCCGCGUGAGUGAAGAAGGCCUUCGGGUUGUAAAGCUC
rnacentral:rRNA from 1 species